UACAGAGGGUGCGAGCGUUGUUCGGAAUUAUUGGGCGUAAAGGGCGCGUAGGCGGUGCCACAAGUCACCUGUGAAAUCUCCUGGCUUAACUGGGAGCCUGCAGGCGAAACUACCGUGCUGGAGUGUGGGAGAGGUGCGUGGAAUUCCCGGUGUAGCGGUGAAAUGCGUAGAGAUCCGGAGGAACACCGAAGGCGAAGGCAGUGUCCUGGCGAGUGACUGACGCUGAGGUGCGAAAGCCAGGGGAGCGAACGGG
rnacentral:rRNA from 1 species